CCUCAGACUUCUCCCUCUGAAACAAGUUUGAGAGAGAAAGAAAAAGAGAACACUAUUGUGAAGGCACUCAGGGGAUUUGUAUAAAGGCAGGUGUCAGCUGGUGUAACUGAAGAGGGAAAAAAUGGACAACUAUCAUCUGAUUUAUACCGACAUAAGGCAAGAGUAGCUUCGGCAAAGUCUGUGCCUGUUUGAACUUUUAAAUCCCAA
rnacentral:lncRNA from 1 species